rnacentral:rRNA from 1 species
GACGAACGCUGGCGGCAUGCUUUACACAUGCAAGUCGAACGGUAACAGGCCGCAAGGUGCUGACGAGUGGCGAACGGGUGAGUAAUGCAUCGGAACGUGCCCAGUCGUGGGGGAUAACGCAGCGAAAGCUGUGCUAAUACCGCAUACGAUCUAUGGAUGAAAGCGGGGGACCGUAAGGCCUCGCGCGAUUGGAGCGGCCGAUGUCAGAUUAGGUAGUUGGUGGGGUAAAGGCUCACCAAGCCAACGAUCUGUAGCUGGUCUGAGAGGACGACCAGCCACACUGGGACUGAGACACGGCCCAGACUCCUACGGGAGGCAGCAGUGGGGAAUUUUGGACAAUGGGCGCAAGCCUGAUCCAGCAAUGCCGCGUGCAGGAAGAAGGCCUUCGGGUUGUAAACUGCUUUUGUACGGAACGAAAAGGUCUGGGUUAAUACCCUGGGCUGAUGACGGUACCGUAAGAAUAAGCACCGGCUAACUACGUGCCAGCCGCCGCCGUAAAAC